GCUCCCGUGGUGUAGUCCGGAUUAAGGAAGUCCACAUAUGUGGUUGUUCUUUAAGGAUAACCAAGCAUUUCGGAUUUUCGAUCCGAAGACCUGGGUUCAAAUCCCGGCGGGAGCA
rnacentral:tRNA from 1 species